rnacentral:lncRNA from 1 species
GAGGGGGAGGACAGGGGUAAGGGAGACAGGGAGAAAGGGGGUAGGAGAAAGGAGAAAGGGGGUAGGAGAAAGGAGAGGAAGGCUGGGAGAAAGGAGAAAAAGUUGGAGAAAGGAGAAAAAUAAAAUAUCUUUCCUUUUAAAAAAAUUUCUAAUAUUUCAAGAAAAAAUAUCUCAAAAGGAGAUGUUUUAUUCCAAUGGGAGAAAGGAGAACGGGGGUAGGAGAAAGGAGAAGAGGGGUG